AUUAAAAGCAAGUCCCAGCCGGGUGUGGUGGCUCAUGCCUGUAAUCCCAGCACUUUGGGAGGCCGAGGCAGGCGGAUCACUUGAGACUUUGUGCUCCAUCAGUUGAAGAGUAGGAUGAAAAAAAAAAAAGGUUAUAUGAAGAUGAUGGAAUUAUAAUCAGGCCUUGAAGAAUGGAGACAAUUCCAGCCAUUGUUGCAGAUGUGGAGGCUGAAGGACAUUCCAAUUUGAAGAAACAGAAGAUGGGAUCUCACUCUGUUGCCCAGGCUGGUCUCCUCCUGCCUUGGCCUCCCAAAGUGUUGGAAUUACAAGCGUGAGCCACCGUGCCUGGCCCUGAAUAAGUUUCUUGACCCAGAGUUCCUGAAGAGGAGGAUGGGAACCUUGGAGGCUGUUUCUCCAGGCUGAUGGAGUUUCGCUCUUGUUGCCCAGGCUAGAGUGCAAUGGCGCGAUCUCAGCUCACUGCAACCUCUGCCUCCCGGGUUCAAGCAAUUCUCCUGCCUCAUCCUCCUGAGUAGCUGAGAUUACAGUGAUGGAGUCUUGUGUUGCCCAGCCUGGCGUCUAACUCCU
rnacentral:lncRNA from 1 species